GGUCCCCUGCAAAUUUGGUGAAAUUUGGUCCACUUCCAGGCCAUCAGAGAUUUCCAGAUUUAGUUUCCCAUAAGAAAUAGCUGAAUUUUACUAAAUUUCUCUGUAUUACCAAACCAAACUGGAGAAUGAAUUCAGUAUUCCCCGAGUUCUGAUUUUUUUCCCCAGUUCAGAAUUACCGAACUGAAUCAACAGAAUUUUUUUCUUGGGCAGACCACUACUUCAUACUUUGCUCAGUUGAGUGGUAGGAUACAUGCCACAAUAUGUAAUCUAUCAGAAGGGUGUGUGUGCUUGAGUUUACAGCCAAGAACUGUAUGGAUACUGGCAGAUAGUAAUAAUUUUGAAAAUAAAAUGAUAGUAGGUUAUGUUACUAUCAGACCAUUUUGGAGCCAGACUGUCAGAAAGCACAAUUCACUCUCCCCGCCCCGCCCUGCAGUACCUGAAGGGGUGAAGAAGGGGAAGAGGCAGAACUUCGCAGGAAAAUACAGCUUUCAUCCCCAGGAAAAUAAAGGUUUUCCUUGUCAUAGUGUAUUCCUAUCCUUGGUUUUUCCUCCCUCCUGUGUGAGGGGGGAAAGUCAGAAGAAACAAACUGCCUAGAAAGAGUUAGGACAUCUCCUUUCAAUUGUAUAAUAUCUUCCAUCUGACAAAGAAAGAUGGGGAAGAGGGACAGAAAGGGAAAGGAAUCAGGAAACACAGAAGCUGCUCUCAUCUGCAUUCUCUCCAAACUCUUUUCUGGCUGGAAGACUAGAUGGCAACCACCAGGUGGCAUCACUCUCAGUUCCUGAACCUGACAACAGAGGAAGUAGAUGCCAUUUGUAGUCUGAAAAGAAGCUAAUAUGAAAACUCACCCAAAAUCUUUCAGGAUGUAAGAGAUGCAAACUGACUGUACUGCAUUGCAGGGAGGAAAACCGAGAAAAGAUCUGUAUGAAUCUGACCCAAAAGGGCACAAAGAAACCUCCCAACGUUAUUGGUCAAGAAUAGGAAAAAAAAGUGGAGAGCAAUCCAUUAGCUUCACCCAAGACUCGCACAAACAUUUUUCUGUUCCUGCAAAUUGGGGGCCAAUUUUGCACAUCUCUGGCCAACGCAGGCACAAAAUAUUUUAACUCUGGUUGGUAUACACGAUUGAUGAUAGUCAGAUGCUAAUAAUCGUAGUAUGAAAAUAAAUUAUGCACAAGCCAGUUGUGAGGUUCUCCUGCUUGGGCACCAGCCCACCACUAAUGGUGUGUUUGCAGUUUUCUGACAUAGGAGUCAAUGAAGCAAUGACUGUGUCAUCCCCACUUGCCUACUUUGGGGUCCAUUUAGACCAACCCCCAUGUUUGUGUAUGCUGUAAACUGGGUGAAUUGAUGGUUCAGAGGAAGGGCUGUAUUCUAUGUGAUUUUGGUGCUGUUGAAUGCAAAACAGCUGCCUCUGAGCCUCCAACUGGUCCUCCCUCCCCUUCCCUAUUGAAAAGAACUAUCAUGAAAACCAUGAGCACAACAGAAAACUAAUGAAUUUUGAGUCCAACCAGUGGCACCCCACCAGAAAACCACCGGGUCACAGUAGACAUUUCACUUAAUAGCCAUCAAUUUGAAAGCAGAACAGUAAUUUUCAAAAUAUAUACCCCUACUGUAUCAAUUCUAUUUGACAUGGCUGAUCUGGCCACCUGAAUCCAUGCCAAGGUAACAUCAAGACAAGACUACUGUAAUGCACAUGACAUAGGUUUCACCUCAAAGUCAAUUUGGAGACUCCUAUUGGUGCAGAACCCCCUUAUCCCACACUGGCUCAAAGUGCCAAGGGGGGUGGCAACGUAUGACUUACCAUUCGUGGCUGUUGUACGGCUAAGUGUGUUGGGUUGGGGAAAGCAAUGGUGAACUACCCUGUGAAAACUUCACUGCGAGACUCUGUGGAUCAUUCUCGAUGCGCUAUAGGACAGAAAGGCCUGGAGGGGGACGAUCUACGGAGUAGCCGAGGGUCGGACGCGACUGUGUGGCUUGGAUCGGAUUGGUGCAGAAUGCUGCAGCCUAUUAUUAGGAGCUAGGCAGAGCAUGCAUAUUACUCCCAUUCCGCAGCCACUCCAUUGGCAGCCCAUCAGUUACCAGGCUCAAUUCAAGGCUCAAAAACAAAUCCCUUCAUGGUCUUGGUCCCUCAUAUCUGCAGGAACACUUCUCUCUCUAUGCUCCUUCACAGCAGCGUCAUUCAUCUGAUCAGGGCCUUCUGCAGGUGCCACCCUGGAAAUGGGCAAAAUCAACUAUGGACUGUAUAUGUACAUUCUUGAUUGUUGCCCUUACCUUAUGGAAUGGCCUGCCUGAUGAGGUCAGGAAAGCUCCCACUCUCCCAGCUUUCUACAAACUGUGCAAAACUAAAUUAUUCAGGAGGGCUUUUUACAAAGGUAAAAGGGCUGUACUAUAAGGAAAUGGUUCAGAAAGAUGCUUUGGUAAAGAGAUAAGGACUGUAGACUAUACUACCGUGUAUGGUCUGAUGCUGUAAGUAUGGUCUUACUAGAUAAUUUCUGCAUUGUUAAAUAUGUCAUAUUUAAAUGCUUAUGCUUUGUUUCAGCUCUGUAUCAGAUUUCUGCUUGUUUUCAAAUGUCUGUAAUCCAAACCCUAUUGCAUUGUUUACUGAAUGUCCCAGCCGUUGAUUGUAUUUACUUACACUAUGUAA